UCCAGUCUGGGCGACAGAGCGAGACUCCAUCUCAAAAAAAAAAUUAAUAUCUUUUUGUUUCAAAUUGAAGAACCCCUGUUAGCCUUUCUUGUAACGACAGGUCUACUGAUGAUGAACUCCCUUAGUUUUUGUUUGUGUUGGGAAGUUUUGAUCUCCCCUUCAUUACUGAGGGACAGCUUUGCCAGGAUAGUAUUCUUGGUUGGCAGGGCUUUCUUUUGCUUUUGGCAUUUUGAAUAUAUCCCACUCUCUUCAGGCCUACAAAGUUUCUGCUGAGAAAUCUGCUGAUAGUCUUAUGCAGGGAUAAGGGGGGAUUUUUUGAAAAGAGUUGCUUUUCUCUUGCUGCUGUCAAAAUUAUCUCUAGCUUUGACUUUUGGCAGUUUGAUUAUAAUGUGUCUUGGUGAAGACUUCUUUAUGCUCAAUUUAUUUGGGGUUCUUUGGGCUUCAUGGAUCUGGAUGAUCAUUUUCUUCUCUAGUUUUGGGAAGUUUCCUGUCAUUAUUUUUUUUUAAUAAGGUUUUUGCCCCUUUCCCUUUCUCUGCUUCAUCUGGGACUCCCAGAAUAUGUAUACUGUUUUGCUUGAUGAUAUUCCCAAUUCCCAUAGGCUUUCUUCACUCUUUUUCAUUCUUUUUUUCUUUUUGUUACUCUGCCUGGAUAAUUUCCAAUGAUCUAUCUUUGAGUUUGUAUUUUUAAAAGUCAGGGCCUUACUCUCUCACCCUUGCUGGGGUGCAGUGGCACAGUCGGGGAUCACUGCACCCUUGACCUCCCAGGCUCAAAUGAUUCUCCCACCUCAGCCUCCCACAUAGCUGGGACUAAAGGCUGUGCCACCAUGCCCAGCUAAUUUUUGUACUUUUUGUAGAAACAGGGUUUUUGCCAUGUUGCCCAGGCUGGUCUCAAAUUUCUGAACUCAAGUGAUCCUCCCACCUUGGCCCCCCAAAAGUGUUGAGAUUAUAGGCAUGAGCCACCACCCCUGGCCGAGUUCAUUAAUUAUUUUUUCCACUUCAUCACAUCUUCUAUUGAAGCUCUCUAUUGAAUACAAUGUCUGACAUUGUAUUCUUCAGCUCCAGAAUUUGUUUGGUCCUCUUUUAUAGUUUCUUCCUCUUUAUAACUUUGCAUUUUGUUCAUGUAUCGUUUUCCUGGAUUUCGCUUAGUCAUCUAUCUGUGUCCUCUUGAAGGUCACUGAGCUUCUUUAAGAUGAUUACUUUAGGCCAGGCAUGGUGGCUUGUGCUUGCAAUCCCAGCACUUUGGGAGGCCAAGGCAGGAGGAUUGCUUGACGCCAGGAGUUUGAAACCAGCCUAGGCAACAUAGUGAGACUUGUCUCGACAAAGAAAAAAAAAAAAAAAUUAAAGAUGAUUAUUUUUGAAUCCUUUGUCAGAGAGUUUGUAAGUCCCUUUUUUCUUUCUUUUCUUUUCUUUUUUUUUUUUUUUUUUUUUUUUUUUUUUUUUUUUUUUUUUUUGAGAUGGAGUCUUGCUCUGUCACCUAGACUGGAGUGCAGUGGCGCAAUCUCGGCUCACUGCAACCUCUACUUCCCAGGUUCAAGUGAUUCUCCUACCUCAGCCUCCUGAGUAGCUGGUAUUACAGGCGUGCACCAUCACGCCCGGCUAAUUUUUGUGUUUUCAGUAGAGAUGGGGUUUCACCAUGUUGGUCAGGCUGGUCUCGAACUCCUGACCUUGUGAUCUGCCUGCCUUGGCCUCCCAAAGUGUUGGGAUUACAGGUGUAAGCCACUGAGCCUGGCCAUUAAGUCCCCAUUUCUUUGGGGUCAACUAUUAGAGCUUUAUUUUGUUGCUUUAAAGGUGUCAUAUUUCCUUGAUUCUUUGUAUAUAUAUAUUUUUGAAGACUUGCGCUGCUAUCUUCACAUUUGAAGAAGCGGUCACCUCCUUUAGUCUUACUUGUUUCUUAUUAAAAUUUUUUUAAUGUUUUUUUUUAAGAGAUGGGAUCUCACUAUGUUGCCCAGGGUGGUCUCAAACUCCUGGCCUCAAGUGAUCCUCCCACCUCAGCCUCCCAAAGUGCUGAGAUUACAGGUGUAAGCUACCAUGCCUGGCUGUCCCCCAGUCUUUGUUGACUGGCUUUGGGAGAGAAAGACCUUCAUCAGUCAUCCUAGCUAAGGAUUUGAGGGAUCGCUCAGAUCUUUUCUGUAGAUACACCCACUCUACUCCUGUUGCUCCCUCUUAGGGAGAGAAGUCUUAGGUUGUAAGCUCCUCUCAAUCCUCCAAAGCUGGGUCUACACUGAGCACCUCCCAUUUUCCCUAAUGCAGUGCUCUGAAGCAUUCAAGGUUGGGCACCUUCUCCCAGUCCAGCAGAGUCAAGCCGGCUGCUCAGAUUUGCAUCUGCCGUUGAGAUCUGUGUACUGUUUGGGAGGAGGGUGCAUGAGACACCAUAUGCUCAGGGGUACGUGGAGUGCUGGGGGCAUGGAUCAGUUGGUUGGGGGGCCCACAGGCAAGUUGUUCUGUGGGUUCAUGGGCGGGCCUCCUGGUGGAGUGUUAGCUGGUUAGUGGGAUCCAUGGCUGGCUGUUGGUUGCUAGGCAUGUCCUUCCCUUCUCCUAGCAGUCCCCAGGUGACUCAGCCAUGCUGAUUCCUCAGUGUUCUGGGGAGAGACACAGGUGGGCUAUUGGGCAGCAUCCUAUAAGGUUGGGGAAGCUGGUGCUCACUCAGCACUCAGUUUCCCCUGUGGGAGAAACCACAGGCCCAGGGGGGCCUCAUUGGAGGAGCACUAGCACAGGUAAACUGAACCUUCUUAGCCUCUUCGGUGUGCUCUCUUUGCCCUGUGGGGUGCUAGAACCUCUCAGUGUUUCUGUGGGGGCAUGAGGGCUGGAACCUCCUAUUCUGUCACCUUCCUGGCCUCUUCCUACAAUUAUUUUUAUGCUCAAAUUGCCCCCGAUUUGGACAGGGGGAGAGCCUUCAGGCUGCUCCUCCAGCCCUCUCACAUGUCCCCAACGUUGUUCAGCAUUUCCUUAUUUUCCAGCACUAGACAUUCUAAGGCUCACCCUGUACUCUCUCUGCUCUUCCCUGGAAAUAGUCAUUUCUCCAAAGAGUUCUGUUCCCUUGGAAUAGAGAAUGGUAUUUACAAACCAAGAAAUGGAUUUCAGGUGUGCCAGUUGUUUCUGGGGUGGCAUUGCUUCUAGGCCCCUUCGGUGGACAGAGCUGGGAAAGAAACUGUGUGUAUCAUAUAUAUCUGCACACGUAAGCUGUGUGUGUAUCAUAUAUAAUACAUCUGCACAUAUAAACUGUGUAUGUAUCAUAUAUAAUACAUCUGCACUUAUAAACUGUGUAUGUAUCAUAUAUUAAUACAUCUGCACAUAUAAACUAUCAUCUGUACAUAUAAACUGUAUAUCAUAUAUAUCUGCACAUAUAAACAGUAUCAUAUAAUACAUCUGCACAUGUAAACUGUAUCAUAUCUGCACAUAUAAACUGUAUAUCAUAUAUAUCUGCACAUAUAAACUAUCAUAUAUAAUACAUCUGCACAUACAAACUAUCAUAUCUGCACAUAUAAACUAUAUCAUAUAUAUCUGCACAUAUAAACUAUCAUAUAUAAUACAUCUGCACAUACAAACUAUGUAUCAUAUAUAAUACAUCUGCACUUAUAAACUCUGUGUAUCAUACAUAAUACAUCUGCACAUAUAAACUAUCAUAUCUGUACAUAUAAACUGUGUAUAUCAUAUAUAUCUGCACAUAUAAACUGUAUCAUAUCUACACAUAAACUGUAUAUAUCAUAUAAUAUAUGCGCAUAUAAACUAUCAUAUAUCUGCACAUAUAAACUAUGUAUCAUAUAUAUCUGCACAUAUAAACUGUGUGUAUCAUAUAUAGUACAUCUGUACAUAUAAACUGUAUCAUAUACAUCUGCACAUAUAAACUAUCAUAUAUAAUACAUCUGCACUUAUAAACUGUGUACCAUAUAUAUCUGCACAUAUAAACUGUAUCAUAUAUAUCUGCACAUAUAAACUAUCAUAUAUAAUACAUCUGCACAUAUAAACUGUAUCAUAUAUAAUCUGCACUUAUAAACUGUAUCAUAUAUAUCUGCACAUAUAAACUGUAUCAUAUAUAUCUGCACAUAUAAACUGUCAUAUAUAAUACAUCUGCACAUAUAAACUGUGUGUAUCAUAUAUACAUCUGCACAUAUAAACUGUGUGUAUCAUAUAUAAUACAUCUGCACUUAUAAACUGUAUCAUAUAUAUCUGCACAUAUAAACUGUAUCAUAUAUAAUAUAUCUGCACAUAUAAACUAUCAUAUAUAAUACAUCUGCACAUAUAAACUGUAUCAUAUAUAACUGCACAUAUAAACUGUCAUAUAUAUCUGCACAUAUAAACUGUCAUAUAUAUGCACAUAUAAACUAUCAUAUAUAAUACAUCUGCACAUAUAAACUGUGUAUCAUAUAUAAUACAUCUGCACAUAUAAACUAUCAUAUAUAAUACAUCUGCACAUAUAAACUGUAUCAUAUAUAAUACAUCUGCACAUAUAAACUGUGUAUCAUAUAUAAUACAUCUGCACUUAUAAACUGUGUCAUAUAUCUGCACAUAUAAACUAUCAUAUAAUACAUCUGCAUAUAUAAACUAUCAUAUAUACAUCUGCACAUAUAAACUAUAUCAUAUAUCUGCACAUAUAAACUGUGUGUGUAUCAUAUAUAAUCUGCACAUAUAAAUUGUGUAUAAUACAUCUGCACAUAUAAACUGUAUCAUAUAUAAUACAUCUGCACAUAUAAACUAUCAUAUCUGCACAUAUAAACUAUCAUAUCUGCACAUAUAAACUAUCAUAUAUCUGCACAUAUAAACUGUAUCAUAUAUAAUACAUCUGCACAUAUAAACUGUAUCAUAAUACAUCUGCACAUAUAAACUGUCAUGUAUAUCUGCACAUAUAAACUGUAUCAUAUAUAUUUGCACAUAUAAACUGUGUGUAUCAUAUAAUACAUCUGCACAUAUAAACUAUCAUAUAUAAUACAUCUGCACAUAGAAACUGUGUAUCAUAUAUCUGCACAUAUAAGCUGUGUGUGUAUCAUAUAUAUCUGCACAUAUAAACUGUGUGUAUCAUAUAUAAUACAUCUGCACAUAUAAAUGUGUGUAUCAUAUAUAUCCACACAUAUAAACUGUGUGUGUAUCAUAUAUCUACACAUAUAAACUGUGUGUAUCAUAUAUAAUACAUCUGCACAUAUAAACUGUGUGUAUCAUAUAUAUCCGCACAUAUAAACUGUGUGUGUAUCAUAUAUAUCUGCACAUAUAAACUGUGUGUGUAUCAUAUAUAAUACAUCUGCACACAUGCUUCUCUGUAUUGAAAACCAAAUUGUCACGGACCACUCCCAUUCUCACGCAGCAUUUAGGGCUGUGGCUAGCCUUUCCCAGCUGUAAGAAACCUGUCUUUCAGCAUGAUAAACACAUUUACUUAUUUGCUCAGUCCUCUAAUAUGCAGAAAGUAGUUUUAGAAUUGCCAAAACCAUACAACUUGGAAAAACAAGCAUGAUUACUUCAAGAUGUGUUUGUAGCUCCUUCUGUCCUGGCAUUGGACGUGGAGAGAAAGCACAGACUGUUCCAAGUUUCAUUUUUCCCCUUCUCUGAAACGCAGAGAGCGUUGUUUGUUUCUGUUUGUAUUUCAUUUGGGUCCUCCCUCUAGCCUUAUUCAUAAAUUUGUAAAUGAUCUUUAACAAUCUGUUAUAUUUAUGAUGUUUUACUGCGUGCUGCCUGUGAAAAUGUUUCCUUCUUCUGACACGUUCCAGAACAACUAGGCUUUUAAAUUCCAAAUAUUCCUGUUUCACAAUAAACCAGAUGAGGGCCUCUGUUGUGCCACAGCUUUUGGAAUGUGGUUUAUUACCAAUAGAAGUGGCUGCGUGGCUUGUUAUGGUUUCAAUUACACGUGAGUAACAACCGGGGCCCUUCUGUGUCAGGUGCUGCUGAUCAAGGCUGGCUAAUGGGGACCUCGCUGUCCAGAACGGGCGUUUCCCAUGGCCCGGCCCAGCUGUUUACCACUUCUGUCUACCAUUUCAGAGGGGCUUUGCGGAGAUUAAAUGAGGUGAAGCGCUCUGAGAACCUCAGUCCUAAAGAAUAGCAGUUAUACUGGUUUUUGUAUUAUAUUUAUAUAUUCUUCUUGUUAAUAUACUGGUUUUAAUGUUCAUCGUUCUCUUGGGAUCCCAUGACAGUGAGCCUGGUGUACCUGAGGUCUGGGAUACUCACACCUCUCCCCAGUCCCAUGCUCCCCACUGUGGCAGUGCCUGUCAGGGACCCUGCUGACCCCAGGAAGCCUCGGUGUCCCCAGCGCUGGCUCUGCUCACACAGGCAGCAGGCUUAGUGUUCUCUGGCCUGGCUGCACUGACUGGACCAGGGACAGGGGAAGGGCCCCAAAGCACCCUGUUCCAGGCAGCCGGCCAGUCGUGGCCGAGGAGCUCCAUUCAACAGUGGCACCCAGAGGGGCCAGGGUCUCAUAAAGCUGGUCAGACGCCCCCUCUGGGUAGGGGUGUAGGAAGCGGCUGUGCAGCCGGGUCCCAGGUAGGGAGGCAUAGAGUGAAGGCUGUGAGCAGGAGCCCUGGGGCGGAGGGCCAGGAGAAGGCUGGGCACAGGUCCAUCGGUGGCAGCUGGGUGGGCAGAGCAGAGAGGCUGCAUCUGCACGACGGCAGGGCCCUGGUGUGGGAACAGCAGACGGGGCCCCUGGGUGCGGCGCCUCCUUCCCACAUCCCUGCUGCUCCUGCAUCUGCUGCUGGAGAAGACCACGACGUGCUCAGACCCCGGCACUGGAGAACUCCAGAUGUGGUGAGGGCUGCACGUUAGCUGCAUACGCACAUCUGGAAGGUGAGGCAGACGUGCCCACCGCCUCCAUGCCUGGCCCACAGUUGUGGGCAUGCAGAGCUCCUCUGUGGCAGGCCCAGGCUGCACCAGCUGCCUGGAGAGGCACUGGGGGCGGGGCCUCACUUGAGGGGCAGAUUCUCCCACCCAGCCAGUCCAGGCCCAGCGGCUGGAGCAUCCCGUCCAGCAAAUUGUCCUGCAAGUUGCCCUGGAGACCCAGCGUCUCUCAUCACGUCUCACUCCCCUGCCAGAUGCCUCUGCGGCAAUAACGAGAGUGGCUCUGCCUUCUGCACUGAAUGCCGACAGGUGACCAGAACAUGACACUGGGGUUAUGCAGUGCCCUGGUUGAUAUUCUAGUUCAUCAGGGAGCUUCUGGAAUGAUUUUUUUUUUCUUUUUUUUUUUUUUUUGAGACAGAGUCUCUCUCUGUCGCCCAGGCUGGAGUGCAAUGGAGCAAUCUUGGCUCACCACAACCUCUGCCUCCGGGGUUCAAGUGAUUCUCCUGUCUGAGCCUCCUGAGUAGCUGGGAUUACAGGUGUCCACCACUAUCACUCAGUUAAUUUUUAUAUUUUUAGUAGAGAUGGGGUUUCACCAUGUUGCCUGGGCUGGUCUCAAACUCCUGACCUCAGGUGAUCUGCCUCCUCAGCCUCCCAAAGUGCUGGGAUUACAGGCAUGAGCCACCUCACCCAGCCAACUUUCUUUUGCUUCACUUUUCCUCUGGUUGCCCCAUCUUUAUUGUCAAGUCCUGUUAAGAGGAACAACAUUAAAAUGAGAGCUUUCAUGGCAAAAAGGUUGCUGUGGGUUGAGCUUGCAAUGUUAGCUGCGUGUUAGGAUUCAGCUGACAUCUGUCUCUGGAGUCUCGCCCUUUCUGUAAUUCGCUUUUGACUGUAAUAAAUGUUGUACAGUGAAUGUGUGGGUGGGGCCUCUGAGUUACAUCGGCUCAAGGCCUCUUUUAAGGAGGACCCAAAUAAGAGUGGGGAUUGAUGUAUUUGACUGGGAACCCACUCAGGGCCACCAUGCAGUGAAGCUCCGGAGCAGGGGUGUAGACGCCCUGCUUGAAGCGUUGAGAAGCCCCACAGUACAAGUGUGCAGAAGUCAAGCUCCUCCUGCUGGAGCAGGGACAGGGCAAUAGGGAAAGGCUUUUCCAGAGGCAGGGUCAUUGGGACUGGCUCUUCCGGGAGGAGCUGAGGGCACACGCUGGGCAGAGCUGACCUCUGUGUGCGGAUCGCCUGGGAUGGCGCCUCCGGUGGCCUCACGAUAAAGCACCUCAGAGGCAGGAGAUGAACUUGAGACCUGACCGUGAAGGAGUGAGGAGUGAAGUCCUCUUCUCAACAGAAGGAAACCAUCAAAGAGGUUACAUAAUCAAAACUGUGUUGUCAAAAUAUUGCUGGACAGAGAUGGCGGCUGGUCCGGCACGUGGGAAUGUUGGUGACAAGAGGUCAGUUCGGUGGCUCUUGGACCUCCCAGGCCAGGAGGGAAGCGCCCAGGCCAAGGUGGGAGCCUGAGAAUAGAGAUUUCAAGAGACGCUUCUAAUGAAUGCUCAUCAGAAUGUUAUUAUUAUUUUAUUUUAUUAUUUUAUUGGGACUGGAUUGACUUGCAUUUCCUUCACUAAUCAGAAGUUUGAGGGCAAAGAUAAAUCUCAAAUAAUCACCUUGCAUUUCUGAUGAGUUAAAUGAGUGUGUUUUAUGCCCUGGUUGUAUGAGCUUGCUUUUCCACAAAUAAGAGUGGAAAUUUUAUUUUAUUAUUAUUUUGUAUUAUUAUUUUAUUUUAUUUUU
rnacentral:lncRNA from 1 species